ACUGAAGGAUUCCCCCGCCUUGAUCGGUCGGCCGCCGAAUUCUUCGAUCAUGCAGACGUAGCCGCGCUGGUGGCACCAGGCUUCGGAGACGAUGUCGGGGGUGAGGGUCAUGCCGGCGAGCCAUGGGCCGUCCUUGCCUGUUUUGGGGUCGCGGAGGUGGUAGGCGCGGAUGAAGCGGGCGGGGGUUUUGUCGCGGCGUCGGGCGUAGUUGAAUUUUUCGUCGGGGGCGAAGUCCUUGAGAAACUCCUUGGCGGGGAUUUUGCCAAGUUUACCGAGAUAGCUUAAGUAGAUUUCGGAGAAAGUUUCGGCGUCUUUGUGUUUGAUGUGGCCGG
rnacentral:misc_RNA from 1 species